AUAACAACUCUUUGCGCAAGCGAAGUUUUAAACCCACCGUGAACCAAAAACCUCUAUAGCUUCGGUAGCAUUGCUGCUGGUCAACGCCAGCUUCAUGUCAGCCUGCCGGUAGCGCAAUACCAAACUCUUGUUUAAAAAAAUCUAGUCUGAACUAAAAUUUUCGAAUGAAAAUUAAAACUUUCAACAACGGAUCUCUUGGUUCU
rnacentral:misc_RNA from 1 species